AUUGAACGCUGGCGGCAUGCCUUACACAUGCAAGUCGAACGGCAGCACGGGAGCAAUCCUGGUGGCGAGUGGCGAACGGGUGAGUAAUAUAUCGGAACGUGCCCAGUCGUGGGGGAUAACGCAGCGAAAGCUGUGCUAAUACCGCAUACGAUCUACGGAUGAAAGCGGGGGAUCGCAAGACCUCGCGCGAUUGGAGCGGCCGAUAUCAGAUUAGCUAGUUGGUGGGGUAAAGGCCCACCAAGGCGACGAUCUGUAGCUGGUCUGAGAGGACGACCAGCCACACUGGAACUGGGACACGGUCCAGACUCCUACAGGAGGCAGCAGUGGGGAAUUUUGGACCAUGGGCGCAAGCCUGAUCCAGCAAUGCUGCGUGCAGGAUGAAGGCCUUCGGGUUGUAAACUGCUUUUGUACGGAACGAAACGGCCCUUUCUAAUACAGGGGGCUAAUGACGGUACCGUAAGAAUAAGCACCGGCUAACUACGUGCCAGCCGCCGCCGUAA
rnacentral:rRNA from 1 species